UACGUAGGGUCCGAGCGUUUGUCCGGAAUUAUUGGGCGUAAAGGGCUCGUAGGCGGUUUGUCGCGUCGGGAGUGAAAACAUCUGGCUUAACUGGGUGCUUGCUUUCGAUACGGGCAGACUGGAGGUAUGCAGGGGGAGAACGGAAUUCCUGGUGUAGCGGUGAAAUGCGCAGAUAUCAGGAGGAACACCGGUGGCGAAGGCGGUUCUCUGGGCAUUACCUGACGCUGAGGAGCGAAAGUGUGGGGGAGCGAACAGG
rnacentral:rRNA from 1 species